GUUGUAGCUCUGUGGUAAAGCACUUGCCUUGCACGCAUGAGGCCCUGGGUUCAAUCCUCAGCACCACA
rnacentral:tRNA from 1 species